UGGGGAAUCUUGCGCAAUGGGCGAAAGCCUGACGCAGCCAUGCCGCGUGAGUGAUGAAGGCCUUAGGGUUGUAAAACUCUUUCACCGGGGACGAUAAUGACGGUACCCGGAGAAGAAGCCCCGGCUAACUUCGUGCCAGCAGCCGCGGUAAUACGAAGGGGGCUAGCGUUGCUCGGAAUUACUGGGCGUAAAGGGCGCGUAGGCGGAUCAGCAAGUUGGGGGUGAAAGCCCGGGGCUCAACCUCGGAAUUGCCUUCAAAACUGCUGAUCUAGAGUACGGGAGAGGUGUGUGGAACUCCGAGUGUAGAGGUGAAAUUCGUAGAUAUUCGGAAGAACACCAGUGGCGAAGGCGACACACUGGCCCGUUACUGACGCUGAGGCGCGAAAGCGUGGGGAGCAAACAGGAUUAGAUACCCUGGUAGUCCACGCUGUAAACGAUGAUUGCUAGUUGUCGGCAGGCAUGCCUGUCGGUGACGCAGCUAACGCAUUAAGCAAUCCGCCUGGGGAGUACGGUCGCAAGAUUAAAAACUCAAAGG
rnacentral:rRNA from 1 species